rnacentral:rRNA from 1 species
AACGCGAAGAACCUUACCUGGGCUCGAAGCACAGUGGACCGGGGUAGAAAUAUCCCUUUUCGCAAGAACUGCUGUGGAGGUGCUGCAUGGCUGUCGUCAGCUCGUGCCGUGAGGUGUUGGGUUAAGUCCCGCAACGAGCGCAACCCUUACUCAUAGUUGCUACCCGCAAGGGAGAACUCUAUGAGGACUGCUCCGGAUAACGGAGAGGAAGGUGGGGAUGAGGUCAAGUCAGCAUGGCCUUUAUGUCCAGGGCUACACACGUGUUACAAUGCGCGCCACAAAGCGUCGCGAACCCGCGAGGGGGAGCUAAUCGCAAAAAAGCGCGCUCAGUUCGGAUUGCAGUCUGCAACUCGACUGCAUGAAGCCGGAAUCGCUAGUAAUGGCGCAUCAGAACGGCGCCGUGAAUACGUUCCCGGGCCUUGUACACACCGAGACGAC